UGGGGAAUUUUGGACAAUGGGCGCAAGCCUGAUCCAGCCAUGCCGCGUGCAGGAUGAAGGCCUUCGGGUUGUAAACUGCUUUUGUACGGAACGAAAAGGUUUGGCCUAAUAAGCUGAGCUCAUGACGGUACCGUAAGAAUAAGCACCGGCUAACUACGUGCCAGCAGCCGCGGUAAUACGUAGGGUGCAAGCGUUAAUCGGAAUUACUGGGCGUAAAGCGUGCGCAGGCGGUUUUGUAAGACAGAGGUGAAAUCCCCGGGCUCAACCUGGGAACUGCCUUUGUGACUGCAAGGCUGGAGUGCGGCAGAGGGGGAUGGAAUUCCGCGUGUAGCAGUGAAAUGCGUAGAUAUGCGGAGGAACACCGAUGGCGAAGGCAAUCCCCUGGGCCUGUACUGACGCUCAUGCACGAAAGCGUGGGGAGCGAACA
rnacentral:rRNA from 1 species